GCUGAAUGUGUUCCGGCUGCGGGGGGAAUAGGGUGGGUAGGACGGUUAAUCGGAGUUAGUGGGGGGGAAGGGGGGGUGAGGGGUUUGUUAAGUAGGGUGGGAAAUCCCUGGGGUCAACCUGGGAAUUGCAUUCGAUACUGGCAAGCUAGAGUACGGUAGAGGGCGGCGGAAUUCCGGGUGUAGCGGUGAAAUGCGUAGAUAUCCGGAGGAACACCGAUGGCGAAGGCAACCGCCUGGGCCUGUACUGACGCUGAGACACGAAAGCGUGGGGAGCAAACAGGAUUAGAUACCCCAGUAGUC
rnacentral:rRNA from 1 species